CACGUAGGGCGCAAGCGUUGUUCGGAUUCAUUGGGCGUAAAGGGUUCGUAGGUGGCGUGGUAAGUCGGGCGUGAAAUCUCCGGGCUCAACCCGGAAAUGGCAUUGGAAACUACCUUGCUGGAGGAUUUGAGGGGGGAUUGGAAUACUUGGUGUAGCAGUGAAAUGCGUAGAUAUCAAGUGGAACACCAGUGGCGAAGGCGAAUCCCUGGAAAAUACCUGACACUGAGGCACGAAAGCUAGGGGAGCAAACAGG
rnacentral:rRNA from 1 species